AACUUAUCACACCUUCGUACUGAGGCAUUCGAUGCUCUCCUAUGAUGCACCCAUUUUCCCAAAUAAUCCGAGAUAAAUUCAGGCAUCAUUCAUCACAUGCUUACAAUGAACUAAUCUCUCCCUCUUGUUCACCUAAGGUUAAAAAGUUUGUGGCAUGCUUGAAACAAAUUAGAAACCGGAUGCUGAAAUAAACAGAGGAUAGGUUUAAUAGAUAAGUAUCCAUGUGAAAGUCAUAAUGCCAACAUUGCCACUCUCAAGUAGGGUUUAGAAACAGCUUACACUAUAGUAUCAGCCAUGGUCAUGGAGUAGAAAAAUCAGACUGUAUCAACUAGGGCUCUCAGAAUUUUGUAAAACAAUAAGCAAAAUGACACAAUUUCACAAGUUAAGAUAUAUUGGGCUAGAUGACAACAUAUCAAUACUUCUAAUAUCUAUCAUAACUAUUAUUUAGUAGAAAUUAUAAUUUUGUAGUGAUAGUUGACAUAAUCAUUAGAAAGCGAAUUUUAUAAUAACA
rnacentral:misc_RNA from 1 species